CCCUUAGAUGUCCGGGGCCGCACGCGCGCUACACUGAAGGAAUCAGCGUGGCUUUCUCCCUGACCCGAAAGGGUUGGGAAACCCGUUGAAUCUCCUCGUGAUAGGGAUUGGGGCUUGAAAUUGUUCCCCAUGAACGAGGAAUUCCCAGUAAGCGCGAGUCAUAAGCUCGCGUUGAUUACGUCCCUGCCCUUUGUACACACCGCCCGUCGCUACUACCGAUUGAGUGCUCAGGUGAGCCAUUCGGACUUUCAUCAUGCUGGUUUCCAGUUUUGAUGAAGGAAAGUCUUGCGAACCUUAUCAUUUAGAGGAAGGAGAAGUCGUAACA
rnacentral:rRNA from 1 species